UUAGCUUGCCGUGGAUAACAAGGAUAGUGUAUUAAUCUAGAAAGACUUCAAAAACAUAUUAGCCUGUCUGGCAAAGCAAAACAAAAGGCAGAAACACUUCUUCAGCCUGAAUGUUUUAACGCCACAAUUUUUGUGACAGGAUCCACACAAGAACCCUGCAGUUUAGCUCUCCCCUCAAACAGUAAACCGCCCGCCUUCUCCUCACAGGUUGAAAAUGCGCCUUGCCUGACAACGAAUCCAGAAAGCUACGUGCAUUUUAUGCCACUUGCAGUGUCUGCAAAGUGUGGCUCGUAGCAUGUUUCUUAUUCAGUCAGUGCCAAAAGCAUAUUUAAUCAAUGUCACAGCUAGCUAUGGUAACACAAGUAAAGCCAUUGUCAUUCCUCAGCACGGAUGCAACUGACUGCUAAGUUAUGCAAUGCUCAGAGAUCUCUGGAAUGAAAGGGUUUGCUACAGAAUUAUUACAUGAAGGUGCAGCACACUGGGUAGCAUUCUCUGGCUAUAAACUUCAGUUUCUUUUUCUUGAGCUGGACAGCAGUGACACUGUGUAAAUAAAUUACUUUUAUUCUUCCCUUCUUCUUUCCACCCUUCCCCCAAAUAUAUUCUGCUCGGAGGCACAGCACGCAACCCGGAACAAGAGGCUGAGUACUGCAAAGAUGCAUGUUGGUCACAGGGUUCAACUGGAGGCAAACUCUUCAAAAGACUGCUAAUUGUACACCUCGGAGAGGGGUUGGGACCAGAGAGACAGCUGCUUUCUCGAAGAGAAGACUGGGGGGGGGGGGGGUGUUCUACCAGCAGUGAAUGAAAACAAUUAUCUAUCGAAGGUGAAAGAAGCUCUUGCUUAAGGAGGGAGAAGAACUGUACCAAAGAAUCAAUAUUGGAAGAGGUCAUCUUUUCCACAAAGGAUUAUUGAUGUCUAGACCUGUGUUUUGAACCUUUAAAACCAUUUUUCUUUUCUCUGGGACUGCUGAGCUAUCCUGUUUUUACCUCCCUCCCCAUUAUGGAACAGCAGCUCUCUCCAUGAAGAUACAAAGCUGCUACACAUCCUUAUUCGGGGACUCAGAAGCAUGCUUGAUGUCAUUUUAUUCCUGAUGCGGUGUAGGAUAACUACCAGGGUCCUGGUUAUUUGCUACAAAAUGGGCACUACUGUCAUAACCAUAGAAGACGUAAAACAACUCGAGGAGAAAGAAGAAAAAGAGGAAUCAAUAUUGGCUAUGCUGGGGAUUGUUGGGACGAUUCUGAACCUCUUUGUGAUCGUGUUUGUGUACAUCCACACCACUCUAUGAAGAGCUGCCAAGGCGACCAGCCAGCCCAGGCACAAAGGGGUUAGCAGUGUUGCCUUCACCAGAACAAACAGCCUCUCAACAAAAGGGAGAGUGUCUGCUUGUUAUCCAGACCAUUCGCUGGCUCACCAGGGAAGCUGCUGUGAGUACCAUGGGAAUACCAACAAAGGUCCAGAUCAGACAAUUAUUUUGCAUUCUGCUAUUGUUCAAACUUGGAGAAAAUAUUCUACUUGCCACUGCUUGGGAACAGACUAUAAGCUGCAGAAAUACAAUGUUCAAAUGACUGUUAAGGGAUCAGCUGGAAAUGGAUUGUACCUGUAGACACAGAGAUGCCGCCCUUAAAUGGAAUGAGAUUUUUGUAAAUGCUAGUAAGUAAAGAUUGUUACUGUGACUGGGAUAUAUAUAUAUAUUUAUUUUUGUUAGGGAGUUAUCAAUGCGGAUACACAUGGAUAAGAAUGCAAAGCAUAUGAGACCGCAGGGGUAGACAAUGAAAAACAACAAGAUUUGUACUGAUUGUGAAAUGUUCUGUCCAAUGACAUGUCAGAAUGUCCACUUUGAGGACUUGUAUUUAAAUACCAAGCAAUUUAUAGUAUUUCCAAGAAUACCAUAUUUUUGACAUGCCGCUGGUCGAUUAUGUAUUUCUUAAACUACAAGAUGGAUUUUGGCAAGUACGACUUUCCUGUCUUUCCUGUCAGAAGAAGAAACUAAAGCCUUAAAUUUUAUGAAAAGCUUUCUGGGGUAGGGCCAGCUGCAGAGUAUGUAUUUUCUGCAUUAGAAUCACAUAUAAAAAUAAAUAAACAAAUAAAAAAAUAAAAAAAUAAAUAAAUAAAAAUAAAAAAGGAAUACAAUUAUUUCAUUUAAAAUUCUUGGGGGUUGGGAAAGUCAAAAAGAUGUGAAAACUACAAAAACAGAGUUGCCGAUUUUCAAUUAAUGUAAAACUUUGGGUUCACUUUUAAUUAUUAUUAUUAUUAUU